rnacentral:rRNA from 1 species
CCCUUCCUACGGGAGGCAGCAGUGGGGAAUAUUGCACAAUGGGCGCAAGCCUGAUGCAGCGACGCCGCGUGGGGGAUGACGGCCUUCGGGUUGUAAACUCCUUUCGCUAGGGACGAAGCUUUUUGUGACGGUACCUAGAUAAGAAGCACCGGCUAACUACGUGCCAGCAGCCGCGGUAAUACGUAGGGUGCGAGCGUUGUCCGGAAUUACUGGGCGUAAAGGGCUCGUAGGUGGUUUGUCGCGUCGUCUGUGAAAUUCCGGGGCUUAACUCCGGGCGUGCAGGCGAUACGGGCAUAACUUGAGUACUGUAGGGGUAACUGGAAUUCCUGGUGUAGCGGUGAAAUGCGCAGAUAUCAGGAGGAACACCGAUGGCGAAGGCAGGUUACUGGGCAGUUACUGACGCUGAGGAGCGAAAGCAUGGGUAGCGAACAGGAUUAGAUACCCUGGUAGUCCAUGCCGUAAACGGUGGGCGCUAGGUGUGAGGGUCUUUUCACGACUUU